rnacentral:tRNA from 2 species
GGAGGACUCGCCUAGUGGCCGAUGGCGUCGGUCUUGAAAACCGAUAUAGGGAAACCUAUCGUGGGUUCGAAUCCCACGUCCUCCGC